UCUGUUCUCUGGUUCACCUCAUUUUUCAUAAACCCAUCUACCAACAAGUUCACUCCCACGUCAUUCACAGGGCCAGGGGCUGAUGACUUGAUCCUGCAACCACAUAUAGGUGAAUGAGUAUAUUUACUUCCUCCAUUUCAUGCUCAGCAGACAGAAGAUUGAGCCUUCACCCCCAUCUUGCUCUGUGCAACCCGCAUAGGUUUGGCGCUUAACAUUAAUUUAAUAAGAGAGAAAUUUUAGUUUUUAACUGCUAAGUUUACAUGCUUCCCAUGCAUUCUCAUACUAUUAAUCUCACUCCAAAACCAUUUCUCAGCUUCCUAUGCAUUCUCAAACUAUUAAUCUCGUCUGAAAACCUUUUCUCAAUGAAAUUUGUUGACAAAUUUCAUGUAUUCUUUAACUGGUACUUGUUUAACCUCUUUUUCUCCAUGUUUAUGUACACUGCCCUCCAUGUAUCAUUUCUACAUUGUAAAAACCUCACAGCAUGAACUUUUUCACCCUUACGACCCUUUUUACCACACUCCACCAAUUGUUUCUCUUUCCAUUCUCACCCACCCUCCUAUACCCAAAAACUUUUGCUGUAUAAUCUAGCACCUCCUCAUUGUCUGCACUCUCUACCCUACCUUUCUCCCAGUAAUUGCUUAUAGCUUACCUUGUCUCCUCCUUUAAUUCACUCACUUUCACUUCACUCUUAGUCAUUAAUAGUUCUUGUACUUCCAUCUAUUACUUACUACUAAAUAAUGAACUGACGCAUCAGUUACUCCUCUACAAACAUGCACAUUCAAGAGCUUUACCCAUUGACCUUUUAUCUACUAUAAAUAAUUAGUAUGUUUGAUAUUUCAAAAAAAAAAAAAAUAGAAAAUAUGAUGUAAUAUCCUCAUCAAUCCCCUCUAUUGAAACUCUGGAUUAAGUGGUAAACCAGCUUUUAUCUCUGUUGUGACAGAAACACAGGCCUUAUCUCUAGGCUUUAUUGAACAUAGAAUCUUCAUAGUACUUCUGCAACAACAAAAUAUAAUGACUAGUACAUCUAAUAACUGCUUCUACAGGGAUGGUGAUGUCUUGCAUAUGUCAAGAGAAAAGUUAUAACUACAGGCCACAUAUUUUAACUCGCCGUGUAAUCUGCAUCACUAAUAUAUGGAUAUAAAAGAAGAGAAUCACACACCAUGUGUUGGCGCCCAUGACACACCAAGCUGUUGUUGUUGUUAAGGGCCCCGAGAGGUGGUGCAGUAUUAUCCUGCUGCUGCUCCCCACAGGAGCAGUAUCACUACAACCUCACACACCUAGUGUGAGUUCACUACUUGUUACACUUGGUUUACGUAUACUAGAUUUUUCUGGUAUGUGUUUGUUGUUUGAGUUGCCUGUCGUGCAUUUGCUGCUCAAGUCACCUGUUGUGUAUUUGCUGUUCGAAGUCACCUGGUAAGCAUUCAAGACAUCUGGUUCACUUGUGGUUUACAGUGUAUGUUAUGUUUCACAAGGGGCACUCUAUGCAUCACCUGCUCUUGCUGUAGUCUCUGUACUGCACUUCGGUGUGUUGAAAAACUGCUACCACAGAGAGUGCAGAGCCAUUUUAGGAUAAGAUAACAGUGGCUCCCAGUAGCUCUUGAGCCAUGGGAAGAUCCGAUCAUACCAUCCAUAGAAUCCUGGCCUGUCUAUAGGAAGGACAUCAUCUAACGUUGGAUAUCUCUGCUGUUCGAAUUCACUCCCUGCAGUCUUUUUCAUCUAAUCUCUUGCAGUUGAUGGCUCUUCCGAGGUGUCCAAAUCUGCUGGGAUUAGCUCUGCUUGAUAUUUGUCCCAAUCCUUUGCAUUUGCAGGCCAGAAGAAAAGCUGGAAUGUGGAUAUGAUCUCCACCUACCAUGCACGCUGGCCAGCUUCCAUAUCAACACACAUUUUCAGCCCUUCUCGCUGUGUUUCCUUCAUGCUGAAGUAAGGCUGCAAGAUCCAUAGGUUGUUAACAAUGUAAAUGAAAACAUCAGCUACCUUAGAUCGGUUGAGGUUGAUAGGUGUCCAGUGUAUUGCCUUAAGAAAGAAAAAUACACUUAAUUUCAUGAGGUUUUCAGUUUCUUAUACUGAUAGCACCUCCUUCAUUUGAGAUGGGACUGGACGCCAUUGACUCUCGGAUGACCCCCGCAGUUCAUUUUCCAUUUACUCGCUGAUCAUGAAGAUCAGUGCAACAACUAGCAGCCGUUCCUGCCGUCCCAUGUAGAGGAGUGCCCGGAUGCACAGCUUCUAAACAAGCUCAGGCGAUGGGUUCCUAGUUCGAUGCAGUUCAGUGUAAACCUCCAACCAGUCGAUCUCAUUCCUGAUGACAGGGUAAGGCAGGUCCCUCAGCCACUCCCAAAGUGUGAUGAUUAGCACACCUGGCUCGAGAUUCUCAAUAUUAGCAUGAAUGCUACGACGUAGGUUCACCAACGUAAAGAAUCGCUGCCAACUUUGGUAAUUUUCAUCAAGUAGCAUUUUGCGUGCCUCCUACACAGGCCUAAGACCCUGAGCUCCUAUAGUAACCAUGAUUCUCUAUAGGCUCGGGUGUAGCUCCAGAGGACUGAACACCUCGUCAAUUCUUGACUUAAACUACAUUUUUCAACUUGUAUCUUUAAAAAUCUGUGCAGUUAAAUCAAUGCAAACAAUAUUUAAAGUAUUAGCUUUAUAUGCCUAGUUAACUUAAGUCUCACUCUGAAUAUAUAUAGUAAGGAUGGAAGAGUAGUGACAGGCAUAGCUUGGAAAUAUAGCAAUUUUGGAUUCCAUGAGGAUGGACUGUGGUCACAUGGUAGUGUCGGAUAUUAGUGGCAGUGGAUGUGCAUUUGUGAUAGUGAUGGUGGUAGUAGUGCCAAAGUGAAAGCAUUGAUAAUGCUGGUGUUAGUAAUUGUGGUAAUAAGAGCUAUAAUAGUGCCAUAAAAAUUGUGGUACUGUAGUGAAAGCAGAUGUAGUGUUGGUGUGGGUGAUGUGGUAGUGAUGUUAGUACUGGGGUAGUUGCAGUAGUGAUGUUAGUACUGUGGUGGUUGCAGUAAUGAUGUUCAUACUGGGGUAGUUGCAGUAGUGAUGUUAGUACUGGGGUAGUUGCAGUAGUGAUGAUGAUAGUACUGGAGUAGUUGCAGUAGUGAUGAUAUUAGUACUGGGGUAGUUGCAGUAGUGAUGAUGUUAGUACUGGGGUAGUUACAGUAGUGAUGAUAGUAUUGGGGUAGUUGUAGUAGUGAUAUUAGUACUGGGAUAGUUAUAGUAGUACCCCCCACCCGGGAGGCCAACGCCGGAUCACCCCCUGGAAAAGGCCCAGGCUGGGACAAGACCUGCAAACCUACUACAAUACAAUUGUAGUAGUGAUGAUAUUAGUACUGGCAUAGUUGCAGUAGUGAUGAUGAUAGUACUGGGGUAAUUGCAGUAGUGAUGUUAGUCCUGGGGUAGUUGCAGUAGUGAUGAUAGUACUGGGGUAAUUGCAGUAGUGAUGUUAGUACUGGGGUAGUUGAAGUAGUGAUGAUUGUACUGGGGUAGUUGCAGUUGAUAGUACCAGGGUAGUUGCUUCAGAGGAGGAGGAAGAGAGAGGGAAGAAGUUGCUUUCUUCAGAGAUUAAGGAUAUGUGUGUAAUGUGGAUUAGGAUGGAAAAAUUUGUGGAGGAACAUCACCCUGACAAAGAUGUUGCAGGCUCUGUAUGCUACAUGUUCAAUGACAAUGUCUUGUCUCAUUUUAGGCAAAUUUUAAAGAAACUCCAGAAACAGACCUUUCUGGAACAGCGUUUUGAGCAACAGGGGUCCAGUGACUCUCAAGCUGGUCCUAGUGGCAUUAAAAAACAAAGAAGGGAAGUAACCACAGAAAAGGACUUGGUACAUGAAGUCUUUAUGGAAGGGGAUUCCCCUUCCAAACAAUAGUAACUCUUCCAUCCUCUCCCCUCCUCCCAGUCUUCCACACAUCAACAACUCUUCAAUAAAGGUAAGUGUCAAGUUAUUAUUGCUUUAUUCUUCAUGUCUCAUUGUUUUCUGUGUAGAUAAAUGUACAUUUAAUGUAAAAAAAAAAAACAUUUUUUAAUACUUUUGGGUGUCUGGAACAGAUUAAUUUGAUUUACACUAUUUCUUAUGGGGAAAAUGAUUUUGAAAAUAGUAAAUUUUGAAUUUUGGCAGACACUCUGGAAUGAAUUAAUAAUGAAAUUCAAGGGUGCACUGUAUUCUCUACAUGAAUAAAGUUAACCAUGAUUGUCACUACCACACUUAAUUGACCAUAAUUAUAUUUCAGACAAGGAUAUUGGUCUAAGAAAAAUAUUCGUCAACAUGUUCUGUGGAUCCACUAUAAAGAAUGGUCAAUAAAAGCCAAGAAUUUGCACAGUAACUACUACAAAAAAUAUCAGAAAUUUGUGCUAAUUCAUAAGAGCUUCACAACCAUGUAUGAGAGAGCCCCACAUAAUUCAGCUCCCUUUUUUGGUGCUCCAUAUUUUCUUGGGUUUUCAACUGAGCCAUUGAUCAUUAUGUUUGGUGCUUUUUUCUGCUUUUCUGCACAACAAUUCUAUAAGAGAAGGGAGGCCAGAACCAUAUUUUUAGCUGAGCUUGAAUUCUGGAGGUCGGAAGUACAGUGCCUGUACUCUGAAGGAUGGAUAUGGAUGUUGCAGCUCAGUGAGUUAAUGUAAAUGUGACAUCUGCUUACCUCUUCCAAGACAGCUAUUAAAUAAGUGAUAGUGAAUGCAUUUCCUUUUUUGGAAAGCUCUACCUUGUUGGGAAAUGGCUGAUGCCUUAACAGAAUCUGCAAGUUCAGAAACUCCACUUUUCUACAAAACAAUUAGGUUAACUUUCAAAAAGUGGUAAAAAUAUAAAAAUCAACUAGUGGAGAGACUGCUUUAUUAAUUUAGUACAUGGUGUAAACAUGGUAUAGCAAUAUUGGUUGAUACUAACGAUUUAAAACACACAUGGAGUGGUUAAUGUGUGAGUAGUCAACAAACACGUUCACUGAAAUACAGACUCUUGUCAGUGUUUUUUUUCUUUCUGUUAGAACUUGAACUGUGAGCCAGAUACUCUACUGUAUUGAACUCUUGAUUGUCAUCACUAGUUAAAUUCCAUAACCUAAUUUUGUUAUAGUUAAGAGAUAAGCAUUAAACAGACUAUCCAUGUCACACUGUAAGCUCCCUGCCUGCUAGCAACUGUCUUUGUGUCUUGUUGCUAACACUAACAGUGUCAGACAUGUUCUAAAUAUUUAUAUAUAUAUUAGACAGUUGGCUAUUUGGCAAGGUAGAAUCAGAAUAUUGAAGCUUUUGAACAGCCCACUGAAAUACUUCAAUAUAGUUUGUUAUAAGCAUAAAAUUAUAUAUAAUUCAUUGCAAGUGCAUGUCAACAAAGAUGUGAUGUCUAAGAAAUUUCAGUAUUUAAAAUUUGGUAAAUAUGAACAGCAAGAGCUGACUUACUGUUCAUAUAAUUUGUACCAUCUCAUUAUUCUGAACUUUCAUGUAAAAUCAGAUUAUAUAGUUCCACAUUUAUCAUAUAACUCCAAAGUUAGUCUCACAUCUUAGUAAAAUCCAGAACUGAGAAAAUUUGUGUAAAUAAGAAAGCUGAGUAGCUUUUAACACAGCACAAGUUAACUAUGGCUUACCAGGCUGAAGCAUUCUGUAAAAUUCCAUUAAAAUAAAUUCAAAAUACACUAUGUGAAUACAUUUCUAGAAUAAAGCUACAACUUAUGACAGCCAAACUUAGAUAAACAAGUCAUUAAUGCACUUGAAUAAAUUAAUCUGACUUUGCUUAAGAACACACACAUGCAUGUUUGUAAUACAUCCAUCAGAGAAAUCACAAUAAGAAUUAAUAUACAUAA